ACCUGGUUAUGUUAACAUAACAACCUUCAUGUGGAAACAGGUAUUUAGAUUUAAGUAAUAUCCACCCCAAGAUUGCUGGGUAUCACCAUGCAUAUUUUGGAAUGCUUCCUGCAUAGAGAGAGAGCACAAGCAGGAGAGGGGCAGAGGGAGAGGAAGAAGGAGAAGCAGAUGCCCUGCUGAGCAGGGAGCCUGACACCCACCCACCCGAGGACCAUGGCCGGAGCCGAAGGCAGACACUUAACCGACUGAGCCACCCAGGCACCACUUACGAGUUAUUUUAUUUAGUUUCUACGCUUAUGGGAAUUACUGAAGCUAUCGUUUUGUUAAAAUUUCUAAUUUUACUGUGAAAUGGUGGAGAACAUAGUUUGUAGUCUGUUGAUUUUUGGAAUUUAUUGGCGUUUCUUUGUAACUUAAUUCAUGAUCUAUUUCUGUAACUGUUUCAAGUAUGCUUGAAAAGAAUCUGUUUUUCCCCAUGGCUUAAUUUCCACAUUCAUAAAACAGGAAGAACCAAAAA